AGCCGUAGGGAAACCGAGUCUGAAUAGGGCGAUUUAGUCGCUGGGCAUAGACCCGAAACCGGGCGAUCUAUCCAUGGGCAGGUUGAAGAUGCGGUAACACGCAUUGGAGGACCGAACCGACUACCGUUGAAAAGUUAGCGGAUGACCUGUGGAUCGGAGUGAAAGGCUAAUCAAGCCCGGAGAUAGCUGGUUCUCCCCGAAAGCUAUUUAGGUAGCGCCUCGGACGAAUACCACAGGGGGUAGAGCACUGUUUCGGCUAGGGGGUCAUCCCGACUUACCA
rnacentral:rRNA from 1 species